CGAGGAAACGAUGAAUGUUGAAAAAUGAAAAAUGGGACACAAAAGUGAGGCAGACCACACUGUUGCAAACCUAACUUGCAGCAACUCUCAAAUGAUCUCCCAAUCUCCAACGCUUCAUGCCUCAUUCCGUUUACCUACUUUCCCGCUGCAAUUUUCUCCCUUCCAUCAUCCACUUCUCCACCUCUUCUUCUUCUUUUUCUUUUCUUUUUUUCCAGAAUCAGUAAACAAACUAGAUUUCCAGAAUGAAUUCAACUUCAAACUGGAAUGCUUAUCGGAGGUAUUACCAGAGAAAAUACAACAAAAUGCGAUUGAAGUUAUGAUGGAUCUGGAUUGAAAACUUCAUGCUCGAUUUCCUUCUAGUGAUUUUAUCUUAUGGCGUGUCAGGAUCUUGAGGUUACAAUAUCUCAGGUUUCAUGGAGGGGGGUGCGAAUUUAUUAAAACCUAUUUACGAGGAGGAAAGUCCAAAAGAUUAUCAAGAUGCUGAUAUGCUCGACUCAGAGACAACUAGAAGAUGGGGAGUGUAGGAUACAAAUUGGAAGUUUGAAAUUUACUUAAGCUGGUAAGUUAGAGUAAGGAGAGUGCAUGGGAAGAUCGGAGACUUAGGUUUGGCAGAAAUGGGGAGUAGGGGUGACUUGAAAAAAAAUCAAGCAUCUCGUAGCAAAAACCGCAAGCGCAGGGCAAAGAAGAAGAAGAAGAGCUAGAAGACAUGUUCUCCCCCAGCUAUCAAAAACAUAAACAAGGUAGAUAUGAGUCCAGAAGGUCAGGGUUCAGAAAGCUACCAUGAAAAAGCUCUUAGCAAGCAUCAUCAGUAGAUUUAUACUCCAAAGACCUCGGUACCAAUGACAAUUGUUGUAUCGCGGAUCGCCGAGAUAUUUGUCGGAGAGCUAGUUGAAACAGCAAACAGGUAAGUAACUGUUUUAUCUUUUAUUAAAAGCUUGUGUUGCAAUGUUUCAAUGGUCUGUAAAUUCCUUUGUUAUUUGGUGACCUCUCUCCUUUAGGUAAUAAGAUAGAGAGCUUUGCAUUUUUUUA